AACCCUAUUUUUAUUUUCCAAUUUCUAGCGCAGCUUCAGUCACCAUUCACCUUCACCAAGCUAAUUUUUCGAUCUUCUUCCUCAUUUUCUCCCAAACCAAAAAACAAUCAGAUCCCUAGGACUAAAUACUGAAGGACUUAGUGUUUAUUUCGCACCCUUUGUUUUGGAUUUAGAGUUUAUUUCGCACCCAGGUAUGAAUCUCGAUUCAAAAGUGUUGUAAUUGUUGCUAGAGGCUCCGUUGUCACUGUGUAGCACUAAAUACUGAAGGACUGUUUAUUGCUAAAACUCCGUCCUCAAUUGCAAUUUCAUUUUGUACGCUAUUGUUCAUUAUUGUUGAUGAGUUAAGUGUUAUUCUGGGUUCAUUGGACAGCAGUUUCUGUUUGUUG
rnacentral:lncRNA from 1 species